ACUGAGUGUAUCUGAAUUUCUUCUUUUAUGUUCCAAUCAUACAGAUUAAGACCCGCCUUCAUUCAAUUUGGCCCCAUCAAAAUAGGCUCUUCAAAGAUCCCAUUCACAAAUAAAUCCAUGCCUUAGCUUGUCUUAUCUUCUUCAAAGGUCCCAUUGGCAAAUGGGCUCAAACCCACAGGUCUGGAAUACCUCUUCUGGGGAUGAAACAAUUCAAUCCCUAUCAGAUGGGAAAGUCCGAAUUCAGACAGAGCGGAACCACAAAAUAUCUAAAUCUUCUCUUCUCCGCCCCUCCAUGGCAAACUUAAUCCAGGCAGGACACACCUGAGUGUUGCCCCCGUGGCAGCCCCCUGAGGAAGCAGUGGCUCCGUGUCCUCCUGGUGUGUCCUCUCAGGAGCCCUGAACUCCUGGACCCGGCAGCCCACGGCCCCUCGCCCUGGCAGCCCUGGCGGAAACUCUCCCUGGCACGUCUGACUGGCUUACAUGCUUGCCUCUGGGGGUCUCCUGCCCAAAGCUCGGGCUCCCUGCACGGGGGGCCAAUUCUCCCAGUCCUGGGAGGAGGGAGAGGUGGUGGCGGUGGGUCUCAGCAGAACCUGCUGCACAAGACCACGGGAGAUGAGACCCCACACAAUGCUCUGGACAUGCCACCCACGGGACGGUGUCACUCCCCAAAACAAAACACACACAGAUGCCACCUCUUCCCGCUUGCCUCCACGACCACCACCCAAGAGCCAUUCUCAGACUUCACCUGCAGGUUGAAAUUAUCUAGCAAAGUAUCUUCAGAUUCCAACCUGGACAAUCAACAGAUAACCGCCAGAAUAACCCCACAAUGGAAAUCGCAUCUUCUUUCUAAACUACGGCGUUAGGGUGCAACCCUCUUUCAUGUGUACUAUAUAAAUGUAUCCUCAUCAACUAAGGGCUAAGAGAGGACAUAAACAGAUGAGAACGUUGGCUGCUGUAGGAAAGCCUUUAGAGUGCCGCCAUGGUCCAGUGUUUCAUAAUUGCAACAACCACCGUUAGUGAACUUGUGCCCCAGCUCCACCACUUGGUUGAGCUUCCAAACCUUCCCAAACCUUUAUUUCUUCUGGUGAAACCCCAAACUCAAGUCUGAUACAGAACUUCAGGGAUAAAUAUAUAUGAAAAAAUUAUAUAUACUCAUGAACACCUGCUCCCUUCUCUUACACAUAUGCACAACCCCCAGUUACCAUUUGGCUAGUUCUUCCAUCUCCAUCUUGGUAUAAAAAAUCUUGUAGUGAAUACGGCUGCCGCUGAUACAGAGAAGAAAAGAAACACCACAUCUUUUGUGUCUGUCUGCUUAGCUCCAGAACGUCAAAAGCAAGAAAAGAAAUUUCUCUGGGGAGAGGUUUUGCUAGAACUUGAAGUCAAUCCAAAGACUUGCCCACCAUCUUCUCAGAGGUGGGAUCGGCCGUUGCUUGAUGACUUUAAGACAUUUUAAGAAUAGAGGCUAUUGUUUAUACAAGCAGAGUCUACAUGAGCCCUGCGCUUGGCUGAACCAUCAGUUCCUCCAGCUCUAGCGAACAUCAAGGUUGGAGUUAGUUCCUGGAGUAGAUCUUAGUUCUGGACAGUCAGCAGAGCUGGUGGGAAGGUGAUCUUUGGACAUGUGCGGCCAUCUGAUUUCCUCAAGGAUAGGUAUUCUUUGUGAUCCGGGGAAGGCUUUGAUGGCUCCUGUGUAUAAACAGGAUUAGAAAUGAGCUACGCCUCUGAACUGUUUGACCUCUAGACUCAGAACUGGACUUAGUGGAUUUGUGCCCUCCACAGAUACCCACAUCUUAAUCCUUGGAACUGUACAUCUGACCUGACAUGGUGUUUUGGUUUCCUAGAUACUAAAACAAAUACCACACAAUGGGUUGGCUCCACAACACCUGGAAAAGGCAAGGAAAUGGAUUAUCUCCUACAUCCUCUGGAAGGAACCAGCCCUGCCUCUGCCUCGAUUUUAGCUCAGGGAGUCCCAUUUAGGAUGCCUGACUUCCCAAAACUGCGAGAGAAUAAAUUUGCCUUGUUUCAACCU
ensembl:lincRNA